rnacentral:rRNA from 1 species
AGUGAACGCUGGCGGUAUGCCUAACACAUGCAAGUCGAACGGCAGCACAGUAAGAGCUUGCUCUUACGGUUGGCGAGUGGCGGACGGGUGAGGAAUACAUCGGAAUCUACUUUUUCGUGGGUGAUAACGUAGGGAAACUUACGCUAAUACCGCAUACGACCUACGGGUGAAAGCAGGGGAUCUUCGCACCUUUCUCGAUUGAAUGAGCCGAUGUCGGAUUAGCUAGUUGGCGGGGUAAAGGCUCACCAAGGCGACGAUCCGUAGCUGGUCUGAGAGGAUGAUCAGCCACACUGGAACUGAGACACGGUCCAGACUCCUACGGGAGGCAGCAGUGGGGAAUAUUGGACAAUGGGCGAAAGCCUGAUCCAGCAAUGCCGCGUGAGUGAAGAAGGCUUUCGGGUUGUAAAGCCCUUUUGUUGGGAAAGAAAAGAAGCAGGUUAAUACACCGAUGUUCUGACGGUACCCAAAGAGUAAGCACCGGCUAACUUCGUG